rnacentral:lncRNA from 1 species
GGCCAUUUCAGGAGGCUUCUCCCAAGACUUCCUCCAUAUGCAUUUAUUAACUGUUUUCUCUAGCACCAACCUCACUUCCUCAUCUUUAUGCAAAUGUUCCGAGAGCUCCGAGAGUAUUUUCUGCCACACACGAGAAACACCAUCUUGUUUGGGCUGCCGCAGAGAAUCUGGCUGAGCGAAUCUCAUGCUUAUCCUCUGCUGAGAGCUGAAGGCACAAGCAGAGGAGGAAUGGAUGGCUGUUUUCCCAGUUGUUAGUGGCAGGUUGUCUUGUCACCCCCCCCAGUAUUUGGCCACCAUGUGGGAACAUCUCUCUGAUUCAGUGUGUUCCUUGGUGUGCGUUUGUGGAGAAGAUGGAGAGAGUUAGAGUUGGUAACGGCAAGAACAUCUUGUCGCAGCCCAUACCAUGCCUUCUGUUAAUUGUUGAUGUCGAUGCAGCUCUCUUGGACCAAUGGCAUCAGCUGCAAGGUAUAUUUCGGCUCUGGAUAGUAUCCCGUGAUCUCAAACAAUACUAAAAACAGUCCUUGAAAUAGUGUGUUCUAAUAAAACUUGGAAAAACUGUAGGCCUACCUGAUUUCACCUUCACGCUCAGUGGAUAAAAACAUCACUAUUUUGUAUUUUUUUAGCAACAGGAGAAUGGCCUUUGAUCACACUGUUCUUUAAAUCUUAGGUUAGAAAUUAACUAACAUUUCCCUUCAGGGGAUUUUGACAAACAACAGGUGUCGAUGUGAAACUGAGUGUAAAUGUUUGAGCUAAUAACUAGGCUCAUUUAACAGGUCACUAAAUUAUGCUACUGCAAGGACCUUAAAUAACAACGGACAUUCAAAUUGAAACAUUCAGAUUGGUAUUGCAUUCAAAUGUGUCCUUAAGAAUAUAUUAUCAACGCUACACGACCAAUUCUUAAAAAUUGUACCGACUUCACUUCACCAUUAAAGUUUGGUUUAUAAUAUAGACACACCUGUUAUUCUUUCUCAAAAUUAUAUAUUUCUGAAAUAAUAUCAGUCUAGUCAAGUUUUAUGAUGUCAGAUGAAAUUAAAUUAAUCCCACUCUAGUCACUUUCUGGAGCAUAUAAAAAAAAGUCCCCUCAGCAUUUACAUUAGAUUAUGAAUAAGUGAAGUCAGCACACCUUUGCCAAAUGGACCAUCAGGAGCUGUGCUGGGUUUUCGGACACUCUGCCCGCUCUUGUCCACACAAGCUUCCUGUCAUAAAUAUUGCACACCUCAGCUGGCAGGCUGAUGAGAGAGCAGAGCAGAGCACUCUCACUAACACGGCUUGGACCACAGAGGGCAGGGAGAGCUCUUCAUUAAAGGCUUCAUAUUAACCUCUCCAGCCAAAGGCAGUUUCCAUUUCCCUCUGUGCACUGUGAUCCUACAGCCAACUGUGUUCCUGAGAGGCCAAAUGUCUGCCUGACAGGCCUCCCUGCCUGACCUCCUGCUGUUCCACAAGGAUACACCACACAUCACAGACCACAACCUUCUGGCUGGGGUUGUGAUGUGUUGCGCUCCUCCUAUCUCUCUCUCUCUCUCUCUCCAGCCUGAUUCAGAGUCAGUGCCAAGGUGCUAGUCCCCUCAACCCAGUGGCACUUCAAGCCGGUGCCUGCCUGCCUGGUGCCACUCAGCCAAUCACAUUCCUCAGGCACCUCAUCAACACUUGACCAGAUGGACUGGAAUAAUGGCCGCUUUGUUCCGUCACUUAAACUGGAUGCAUAAUCAUCCAUGGCAGCAAAGUUGCAUCUAGCGCCAAGUUGGUUGUCACCUUGAAGUGACAUUUUAACUUAAUAAUUUAUUUGCGUGUGCCAUAUGUAUUAUAGGAUGUAAUAUGAUAUUGUCGACUCGAUUUCAAUACAUUUUGCUAGAUGACAGUGUGAAUUUAACGUACAUGUGUUCCGCACUAUAAAUAGAGACUAUUGGUUUGUUGCAUUGCGAGGGCACCGGCUUGUGUGGAGGUUGUAACCAUUUGUCUUAUUGACAUAACAAAAAUACACAAGGCUGAGAGGCUGAUGGGAUCUCGCUUAGCAACAUGCUGUGUUGCGCUAGAAUUGGAGAAACAAAAAUACCUUGCGGUCCACUAUCCGUAUUUUUCCAUCUGUAAUGAAUAAUGUCCUGGAAGACUCUCUUUAUUGCCAAUAGCCUCUGAAAUAUGACUACCGGGUUUGGGACACUUAUUUAUUCCAGCCGUAUUGUCAGUGUCCCCCCACCCCCUCCCCUGAUCUCUGGCUGAAUGGUGCUUGUAAGAAAAGCUUCUUCAAGCAGAACAAAGCUGUGCAUUAAUCAUUCAGAAAGCGCCUGGGCUCUCCUCCGGGAUUCUGCAGGACUCAAUACAAAAUCUGUUAAAGAAAUAGUUUUGGAGACUCUUACCAAAGGUCAAGCAGAUGUAUCAAGUGAUAAAAGUCGGUUGAGAUAGAGGUCUACGAGACAAAGCGAUAGAACGCCUGUCUUUCUCUGACCUUUCAGAAUCCCCUCGUGUGGGCUAGUGGCUAAUUGAGGACAAUGCACGGUGACCCUACCAGAAAUGGCCACUUUGUAUUGGUUCAGCCUGUUACACCCAGCCAACCCCAGCAUAUCCAUGCCUAACUGAGUAAUCUCCAUGGGUCAGGUGAAAAGACUUUCUAUCCUGUGUGGGUGUUAGCCCGCCAUGUUCAGGAGUAAUAUCAGAGCCUUUGCCAAAUCCUAUAAAGCCCCCCCUCCAACGUAAGGAUCUCCACAGGGAACCACAGGGGUACAGGUGAGGGUAUAGAGUAGCGCUCUGUACUUUCCAGGGUACCCCCUCAUUCUCUUAACGAGGGCCCUUAAACGGCACCCUUCAUCAAGGGCACUCAAUACAUGGGUUCCUGUAGAGCAGGUAAUUAAGGCUGCAUUUCCUGGCAACGGACCAUUUCUAGUUGAAGUAGUUCAUCGUGCUCCAAUGCAUUAAACCAAAUGCUCUGCGUGUUCUCAAAGGGCAUGGCGAAUUGUCAGCCCUUUAUUUUUACUGAGGAGAUAUCACUAAUAACCCUCCAGAUACUUUGCCCAUUUGGAGCUUUGCAAUAUUCUGAGGAGAACCAAUUCUGAAUCAAAAAAGACCGAGGGAAGACUAUCGCAAGGUCUGGUAUGCAACAUGUUCAUCAUGGCUGCAUGUAUUCUUCUAUUCAGAAUGUGGGCAUUGACUGUAAUUUUGAUGAAGAUUUAUGUUUGGAAUAUUAAUAUAAUUUCUAUUAUUAUCACUGUCUCACAUCCUACUACGGACUUCACCUAGGUUCAGCUGUUGUCUUGGGCAUAAGGAACAUACCUCAGUUAUUCAUUAUUACGGAUUUCCCCAAAACAUAUCUGCACAACUUCAGUCGCAUGGUGCCCCAAGAGUUGUACAUGCCCUCAGAACAGCCUCAAUUCGUCAGGGCAUGGACUCCACAAGGUGUUGAAAGUGUUCCUCAGGGAUGCUGGCCCAUGUUGACUCCAAUGCUUCCCACAGUUGUGUCAAGUUGGCUGGAUUUCCUUUGGGUGGUGGACCAUUCUUGAUACACACGGGAAACUGUUGAGCGCGAAAAACCCAGCAGCGUCGCCGUUCUUGACACAAACUGGUGAGCCUGGCACCUACUACCAUACCCCGUUCAAAGGCAUGUAAAUCUUCUGUCUUGCCCAUUCACCCUCUGAAUGGCACACAUACGCAAUCCAUGUCUCAAUUGUCUCAAGGCUUAAAAAUCCUUCUUUAACCUGUCUCCUCCCCUUCAUCUACACUGAUUGAAGUGGAUUUAACAAGUGACAUCAAUAAGGAAUCAUAGCUUUCACCUGGAUUCACCUGGUCAGUCUAUGUCGUGGAAAGAGCAGGGGUUCUAAUGUUUUGUACACUCAGUGUAUAUCUGCAUGAUGUCUAAGAGGGAUUUUUGCCUGAAUACUUUACAGUUGAAGAGUGUUUGUAUGCCACAGCCAUACCGUAUGCAGAGGAAACACAAAUAAUCACUUAUGGAUGGAAUGCUUUCCAACUGUAUUUUGGUCUGGGCCAGACGGAUUACCAGGACGUGUACUCAAAGCAUGCGCGGACCAACUGUCAAGUGUCUUCACUGACAUUUUCAACCUCUCCCUGACCGAGGCUGUAAUACCUACAUGUUUCAAGCAGACCACCAUAGUCCCUGUACCCAAGGAAGCGAAGGUAACCUGCCUAAAUGAUCUCCGCCCCGUAGCAUUCACCUUGGUAGCCAUAAAGUGCUUUGAAAGGCUGGUCAUAGCUCACAUCAACUGCAUCCUCCCGGACACCCUAGACCCACUCCAAUUCGCAUACCGCCCCAACAGAUCCACAGAUGACGCAAUCUCAAUCGCACUCCACACUUCCCUUUCCCACCUGGACAAAUGGAACACCUAUGUGAGAAUGCUGUUCAUUGACUACAGCUCAGCGUUCAACACAGUAGUGCCCACGAAGUAGUGCCCACAGUAGUGCCCACGAUAGUGCCCACGAAGCUCAUCACCAAGCUAAGGACUCUGGGACUAAACACCUCCCUCUGCAACUGGAUCCUGGACUUCUUGACGGGCCGCCUCCAGGUGGUAAGAGAAGACAACAACAUGUCUGCCACACUGAGGAGGAGGUCAGAGAACUGGCAGUGUGGUGCCAGGACAACAACCUCUCAACUCAAUGUGAGCGAGACAAAGGAGCUGAUCGUGGACUACAGGAAAAGGCGGGCCAAACAGGCCCCCAUUAACAUCGACGGGGCUAUAGUGGAACAGGUUGAGAGUUUCAAAUUGCUUGGUGUCCACAUCACCAACAAACUAUCAUGGUCCAAACAUACCAAGACAGUCGUGAAGAGGGCACGACAAAACCUUUUCCCCCUCAGGAGACUGAAAAGAUUUGGCAUGGGUCCCUAGAUCCUCAAAAAGUUUUACACCGCCUGGUAUGGCAACUGCUCGACAUUUGACCAUAAGGCACUACAGAGGUUAGUGCGAACGGUGCCGGAACAUCGCUGGGGCCAAGCUUCCUGCCAUCCAGGACCUACAUAAUAGGCGGUGUCAGAGGAAAGCCAAUAAAAUUGUCAGAGACUCCAGUCACCCAGGUUACUGUUGUUUUCUCUGCUACUGCAUGGCAAACGGUACAAAGGCGCCAAGUCUAGGACCAAAAGGCUCCUCAACAGUUCUACCCCCAAGCCAUAAGACUGCUGAACAGUUAAUAAAAAUUACAAUGACAACCCCCCCUCUCCCUUUUGUACACUUUUGCUACUUGCUGUUUAUUAUCCAUGCAUAGUCACUUCACCCCUACCUACAUGUACAGAAUAGCUCAACUAGCCUGUACCCCCUGCACACUGACUCGAUAACGUUACCCCCUGUAAAUAGCCUCGUUUAAUCUAUUUGGUAAAUAUUUUCUUAACUCUUCUUGAACUGCACUGUUGGUUAAAGGCUUGUACAAUUGAAGUCGGAAGUUUACAUACACUUAUGUUGGAGUCAUUAAAACUCGUUUUUCAACCACUCCACAAAUCUCUUGUUAACAAACUAUAGUUUUGGCAAGUCGGUUAAGACAUCUACUUUGUGCAUGACACAAGUAAUUUUUCCAACAAUUGUUUACAGACAGAUUAUUUCACUUAUAAUUCACUAUAUCACAAUUCCAGUGGGUCAGAAGUUUACAUACACUAAGUUAACUGUGCCUUUAAACAGCUUGUAAAAUUCCCGAAAAUGAUGUUAUGGCUUUAGUAGCUUCUAAUAGGCUAAUUCGCAUCAUUUGAGUCAAUUGGAGGUGUACCUGUGGAUGUAUUUCAAGGACAACCUUCAAACUCAGUGCCUCUUUGCUUGACAUCAUGGGAAAAUCAAAAGAAAUCAGCCAAGACCUCAGAAAAAAAUGGUAGACCUCCACAAGUCUGGUUCAUCCUUGGGAGCAAUUUCCAAAUGCCUGAAGGGGGAGGUUUGCAAGUCGAAGAACACCAUCCCAACCGGUAAGUAAGGGGGUGGCAGCAUCAUGUUGUGGGGGUGCUUUGCUGCAGGAGGGACUGGUGCACUUCACAAAAUAGAUGGCAUAUUAAGGAAGGGAAAUUAUGUGGAUACAUUGAAGCAACAUCUCAAGACAUCAGUCAGGAAGUUAAAGCUUGGUCGCAAAUGGGUUUUCCAAAUGGACAAUGACCCCAAGCAUACUUCUAAAGUUGUGGCAAAAUGGCUUAAGGACAACAAAGUCAAGGUAUUGGAGAGGCCAUCACAAAGCCCUGACCUCAAUCCUAUAGAAAAUGUUGUGGGCAGAACUGAAAAGGUGUGUGCAAGCAAGGAGGCCUACAAACCUGACUUAGUUACACCAGCUCUGUCAGGAGGAAUGGGUCAAAAUUCACCCAACUUAUUAUGGGAAGCUUGUGGAAGGCUACCCAAAACGUUUGACCCAAGUUAAACAAUUUAAAGGCAAUGCUACCAAAUACUAAUUGAGUGCAUGUAAACUUCUGAUCCACUGGGAAUGUGAUGAAAGAAAUAAAAGCUGAAUUAAAUCAUUCUCUCAACUAUUAUUCUGACAUUUCACAUUCUUAAAAUAAAGUGGUGAUCCUAACUGACCUAAAACAGGGAAUUUGUACUAGGCUUAAAUGUCAGGAAUUGUGAAAAACUGAGUUUAAAUGUAUUUGGCUAAGGUGUAUGUAAACUUCAGACUUCAACUGUAAGUAAGCAUUUCACGGUAAGGUCUACACUUGUUGUAUUCACGCAUCUGACAAAUAAAGUUUGAUUAAAAUAUAAUUCUGUGAGUUUAUACAGUAUCUUCCUCUUUCUCUCCUUUCUCUCAAUCUUUAAGAUCAUAACCAUGAUUUCAGUUUUACACAGCUGUGUGUGUGUGUGUGUGUGUGUGUGUGUGUGUGUGUGUGUGUGUGUGUGUGUGUGUGUGUGUGUGUGUGUGUGUGUGUGUGUGUCUGCAUUAGCGCGUGUGAGCGUUCGCGUGUGUUCAGUCCCUCACUGUACUCCUCAUCUCCCACUCGUGUCUGCUAAUGAACAUCACUGGAACUCUAAUGGAAUUAGCUACACUUUAACGAUGUUUGCUGAAUUUAUGAUGGUAAUUAAUUAGAUCAGUGUAAUAUUCUACUCCCCAAAAUCUUCCCACAUGAACAGCAUAAACACCGAGCAGUGCCGUUGGUUGCCCCUUCAGCACAUCAUAAACACCAGUAAUGGUGUACUCUCUCCAAACUAGUCUGGCUAAUGCUUCUCCCAAAAUGAAGGAAUCAGACACAUGGGAAUGAAUGCCCAUUUACUAAAUAUUGAGUGCACUGGCAUACUUAAUGCCAAAUAUUAAUAUAUUAUUGAACCAUCCUUUCCUUUUGUACUGAGCAGAGGUUUACAGGCUAAGAUACGUUGGAUGUUACAGGAAGUGUUCCAUUACCUGAGCAAGAGAUCUUACUUAUCAUCAUGUGAGUUUCUCUUCAAGCAGCCAUAUCCUUGAAAUCUGUGUUCUAUAUAGAACACUACAGUGCAUUCAGAAAGUAUUCACACUGUCACAUCUUGACCAGAAAAGGGGUUAUUUGUUAUUAUUGUUUGGUCAGGACGUGGCAGGGGGUAUUUGUUUUAUAUGGUUCGGGGUGUGUGUUUAUGUAGAGGGGUGUUUGAUUUAUGUAUUCCGGGGUUUUGGUUUAUGUCCUAUAAUUAGGAGUAUGUUUGUUUUGGGAAUUGUGGGAGGUUGUUCUUUGCACUGCUGUAUUUAGCCUGCAAGUUUGUUUGUUAAGUGGUCACAAAUAAAGUUAAGAUGAGCACUCGACGAUUGUGACAUAUAGAUUGCAUUUGUAUUACUGAUAGUGUUAUUUGGGUUGUUAAUUGGAUUCGCUCUGACAUUCUUGAUUUCUAGUUUUUGAUUAUUUAUUAGUGUACUUGUUUGACAUUUUACUGCACUGUUAGGAGCUAGUGACAAAAGCAUUUCGCCGCACCCGCUAUAACAUAUGCCAAACUGGGUACGGGACCAAUAAACGCUGAUUUGAUAACAUACUUGGUUUUGAUGCGAUCCUCAACAGAUACCAUGUAAUACAGUAUGAAUAUAUAUAUAUAUGCAUAUUGAUUCAUGGACCCUCUUGUUUUCAAUUUACAUUUACAAUGCUGCCGUCAAGUGGAUGGUCACCCCUGACAGUGACAUAUCUGCCCUGGCUUGUACUCUAAUAAUUGACAUUCCGCACACUGUGCCAAGGCAACUGGAAACAAACAUUGCAAAUGAGUCAGUCACAUGGUGAAAACGACCUUGCUUUAUGACUUAAGUGCUUCCCGCCCUUUCCUCGUCUAAUCUGCCAAUUCCAUCUAUCACUCUAAUGAUGUGGCAGAGAGCCAGCCCAAUCAAGCUCAAUUACUUGUCAUCUCAUUAGUGACUGACAACAUUACAGCAACGUCUCAGCUA